CAGGCAGAGGCGGGGAGAGAUGCACUCAGGCUGCUUACAGUGACAGUGCCCAGGACUCAGGUGUGUCUCUCACAGCUCCUAAGGGGUGACAGAGCUGCUUUCUAUGGGACUUGGUGCUACAACAGUCACUGCAGCCUCCCCUUGGGACUUUAAGGAUCCCUGACUGCUGUUCCUGCAACUGGCAUCAGAACUUGUCUGCAUUCUUAUCAGCACAGUGAGGAGCUGGUGCCAAGGCCACCCUCCCCACAGGGACCUGUGUCCUCUCCCCAGGGGACUGUCAUGUCCCAGCAGAGCCGGGGUGAGGCAUCCCCAUCCUGGUCAUUCCUAGUCUGGGGCAUCUUUGUUGCUAUUUUGUCCUUGCCACUUCAGGAGAACCUUGUCCCAGCAGGACCUGGGGUCCCAGGGCCUCGAGCAUCACCUGGGCCUUGUGGUGGCUCCAGGACUGUGCUCAGUGAAGGCUUCAUGAGGCAGCGUCAGCCUGGGCUCAGGCCUGGGUCUGGCCCUCAGCCCCUGUUUGGGGUAUUUUAUUGUUUUUUUUCUUUUUGUACAUGUUAUGUGUUCUUGUUUUCUUGUAUUCUUGUAUUCUUGUUUUCUUAUUAAAGUAUUGCAAUGUUUUUAUUAAA